rnacentral:rRNA from 1 species
GCAUAUCAAUAAGCGGAGGAAAAGAAACCAACAGGGAUUGCCCUAGUAACGGCGAGUGAAGCGGCAACAGCUCGAAUUUGAAAUCUGGCCUCGGCCCGAGUUGUAAUCUGUAGAGGAUGCUUUUGGCGCGGUGCCUUCCGAGUGCCCUGGAACGGGACGCCACAGAGGGUGAGAGCCCCGUAUGGUCGGACACCAAGCCUGUGUAAAGCUCCUUCGACGAGUCGGGUAGCUUGGGAAUGCUGCUCUAAGUGGGAGGUAAACUUCUUCUAAAGCUAAAUACUGGCCAGAGACCGAUAGCGCACAAGUAGAGUGAUCGAAAGAUGAAAAGCACUUUGAAAAGAGGGUCAAAUAGUACGUGAAAUUGUUGAAAGGGAAGCGCUCAUGACCAGACUUGCGCCGGGCUGAUCAUCCAGUGGUCUCCACUGGUGCACUCUGCCCGGCUCAGGCCAGCGUCGGCUGUCACGGGGGGACAAAAGCACUGGGAAAGUAGCUCUCUCCGGGGAGUGUUAUAGCCCUAUGCAGAAUACCCCCGCGGCGGCCGAGGUCCGCGCUCUGCAAGGACGCUGGCGUAAUGGUCAUCAGCGACCCGUCUUGAAACACGGACCAAGGAGUCGAGGUUUUGCGCGAGUGUUCGGGUGCAAAGCCCCAGCGCGUAAUUAAAGUGAACGUAGGUGAGAGCUUCGGCGCAUCAUCGACCGAUCCUGAUGUAUUCGGAUGGAUUUGAGUAGGAGCGUAAAGCCUCGGACCCGAAAGAUGGUGAACUAUGCCUGUAUAGGGUGAAGCCAGAGGAAACUCUGGUGGAGGCUCGCAGCGGUUCUGACGUGCAAAUCGAUCGUCAAAUAUGGGCAUGGGGGCGAAAGACUAAUCGAACCAUCUAGUAGCUGGUUACCGCCGA